GACGAACGCUGGCGGCGUGCUUAACACAUGCAAGUCGAACGGAAAGGCCCUGCUUUUGUGGGGUGCUCGAGUGGCGAACGGGUGAGUAACACGUGAGUAACCUGCCCUUGGCUUUGGGAUAACUUCAGGAAACUGGGGCUAAUACCGGAUAGGGGCUCCUGCUGCAUGGUGGGGGUUGGAAAGUUUCGGCGGUUGGGGAUGGACUCGCGGCUUAUCAGCUUGUUGGUGGGGUAGUGGCUUACCAAGGCUUUGACGGGUAGCCGGCCUGAGAGGGUGACCGGCCACAUUGGGACUGAGAUACGGCCCAGACUCCUACGGGAGGCAGCAGUGGGGAAUAUUGCACAAUGGGCGGAAGCCUGAUGCAGUAACGCCGCGUGCGGGAUGACGGCCUUCGGGUUGUAAACCGCUUUCGCCUGUGACGAAGCGUGAGUGACGGUAAUGGGUAAAGAAGCACCGGCUAACUACGUG
rnacentral:rRNA from 1 species